rnacentral:rRNA from 1 species
CCUACGGGAGGCAGCAGUCGAGAAUCAUUCACAAUGGGCGAAACCCUGAUGGUGCGACGCCGCGUGGGGGAAUGAAGGUCUUCGGAUUGUAAACCCCUGUCAUGUGGGAGCAAAUUAAAAAGCUAGUACCACAAGAGGAGGAGACGGCUAACUCUGGGCCAGCAGCCGCGGUAAUACGGGGGAUGCGAGCGUUAUCCGGCUUUAUUGGGUUUAAAGGGUUGGCAGGCGGCCUGUUAAGUCAGCGGUAAAAGCCCGGGGCUCAACCCCGGCGAGCCGUUGAAACUGGCGGGCUGGAGUGGGAGAGAGGUACGCGGAAUGCGCGGUGUAGCGGGGAAAUGCUUAGAUAGCGCGCAGAACCCCGAUUGCGAAGGCAGCGUACCGGCUCCACACUGACGCUGAGGCACGAAAGCGUGGGUAUCGAACAGGAGUAGAUACCCGUGUAGUC